rnacentral:misc_RNA from 1 species
GAGAUGCGAUAAGUAAUGUGAAUUGCAGAAUUCAGUGAAUCAUCGAAUCUUUGAACGCACAUUGCGCCCGCCAGUAUUCUGGCGGGCAUGCCUGUUCGAGCGUCAUUUCAACCAUCAAGCCCCCGGCUUGUGUUGGGGACCUGCGGCUGCCCGCAGGCCCUGAAAAACAGUGGCGGGCUCGCUGUCACACCGAGCGUAGUAGCAUACAUUCUCGCUCAGGGCGUGCUGCGGGUUCCGGCCGUUAAACGACCUUCAUAACCCAAGGUUGACCUCGGAUCAGGUAGGAAGACCCGCUGAACUUAAGC